CCCUCUCUUCCUCCUCCUCUUUGAGCUUCCUUGGACGGCUGGAAUUUUCCAUCUCCCUCUGGAAGACUCUAAUUUUUGUUUUCUUCUUUCUUUUUCUUUUACUCUUCUUCAUCUCAUAAUUCAAUUUCCGAAUUCUAAUUUAGGGAUUUAGGAGUUGGGCAUUUUUUAGAAUGGAUAGGUGUGCUUUAUUUGUAAUUUGUAAAGAAUCUGAGUUUUAAUUCACAUGAUAACUGAUAGGAUUGUUAUCUAAUUGAUGUAUCAUGUUUGAAUUCUGUUGGCAGCUCAGUAAUCUUUUUCCUGAAUUCUAAUUGAUUAUCAGACUAAGCUUGCAGAUUUGGGGUUUUCAGGCGAUCGGUCCUCAAGCUUUAGAUCCUAACUCAUCCGAAUCAAGUUUUAAAUGCAAUUUGAGGAUAUUGUGUUACUCUUGGAAAUAGAGUAGUCAUAUGUUUGUUAAAGGAACCACGGUUGAGAUUUGAUGAAUGGUGCUUCAGCAUCUAGUAGCUUAAGAUCAGCUUUCUCAUACUGUGUACAGCAAGUCCGUAGUUAUGAUUACCAUAACUACCUUUGCCUGCUUGAACUCCCGCCUCACAUGCGGAAGGUUGCAUUUGCAGUCCGUGCCUUAAAUGUUGAAACAGCUCGUGCUAUGGAUGUUGCUUCUGAUCCCAGGGUUGGUCUUAUGCGCCUUGUCUGGUGGCAAGAAGCCAUAGAUAAGAUCUAUGCUAACAAGUUAAUUGAGCACCCAACAGCUCAAGCCCUGUUGUCAGUGGUACGCGAGUACAAAAUUAGCAAGGGAUGGCUAAAACGGUCUGUAGAAGCUCGGAUCAAUGAUGCAAGAAAGGAGGUUGGUGACACCCCAGAGAAAAUUGAAGACUUGGAGAAAUAUGCUGAAGAUACAGUAUCGACUAUUCUUUACAUGACACUUCAAGCUGGUGGUGUCAACUCCACUGCAGCCGAUCAUGCAGCAUCGCAUAUUGGUAAAGCAAAUGGGCUUCUUUUGCUGAUUAAGUCACUGCCAUACCAUGGUAGCCGCAACCGGCAUUUUUCUUACAUACCAAUCGAAGUGGCAGCUAAGCAUGGAUUGUUGGUUAAGCAUGGAGGUCAAUCGGAGAUUCAUUUGGACUCUCGCGAGGGCUUAUGUGAAGCUGUUUUUGAGAUGGCCUCAGUAGCUAAUGUCCAUUUGCAGAAGGCUCGUGACUUAGCUGGUACAGUACCUGUAGAGGCUCGCCCGGUGCUGCUGCCGGCGGUGCCUGCCCAGAUUCUUUUGGACUCACUGAGACAAGUGAAUUUUGAUGUGUUUGAUCCAAAGUUAGCAAGAGGGAUUCAUGGCAUUCCUCCUUUGUGGUAUCAGUUGAAAUUAAAGUGGCAUUCGUGGAGGGGAAAAUACUGAAAAGAAAUUGCAUUUCGCGUACGAGAGUUCUGCUACGGAUUAUAUUCCUUUGCAAGAAGAAACUAGUAUACUCAUGAGUCCUGGCUAACCAACCUUUCAAGGGGAUGGAUGGUUAUCCAAUUGAGAUUCAAGCACUCUUUUACUUUGCAAUGAGGUGUGCCCGACAGCUGUUGAAUCCAGAAUGUGGUGGCAAGGAGUUCCUUAAGCGAAUAGAUAAGCGCAUCUCAGCUCUUAACUUUCACAUCCAGACGUAAUACUGGCUUGAUUUUACACAGCUAAACAAUGUGUACCGCUACAAAACUGAGGAGUAUUCCCAUACUGCCUACGUCCCUUUGUGAUGUUGAGGAACGAAUUAUCGGUGCUAUGUAUGCACUAUGCAGUGGUCCUAGAUUCCACUCUGAAAAGUUUGUGCUCGUCUCUUUAGCUGGAUGGGGGGCGGUUAUAUAUGGGGGUUACAAGCUCUUCACAAAAGGCAAAGAGGACAAAAAGGAAGAGAGAGUUGAAGAACGGCCACACUAACUUUCAGGGGACCUGAAUAUAUGUGCAAAUAAAUAAACCGUGUUUUGGCGUCGGAAUAUUUGACAAUGAGGAUGCAAUUUCUGAUGUUACAGGACACCGUACUUUUUUAGGCAGUUUCUGUUGUACAUGGCAACUUUGUAACUACACGGUGCCUGUUCACUUUAUCAAAUGUUGGUUUUGCUUAUAGUGGAUAUGUUCUGCCCGACGCACCCAA